rnacentral:lncRNA from 1 species
CCCAUUUUUAUUGCCAUUGAACACAAAAUUUGAAUUGAAUUUCAGUAAAAAUCAACAAUGAAAUGAAUAGUCCAUUAGCUAAUAUGAUCCUUUAGUAAUGAUAGACAAAUACAAAAUGUGUAAAUUAUAUGCUAUCAUCAGCUAGAUUUUCCAGUGUUUCGAACGACACCAGAAACAACAUUUUUAAUGUCUUUUUAAUUAAUAUUCAAAUUUUCCACUUUUUUAAGACACUUUUCUUUUAUUGAAAAGGAAGUUAUCAUGGUGUUUAGUUGCUUAGGACCAAUUAUUAUAUUUGCAUGAUCAGACUCCUCCACACAGUUGUAGCAUUUAGUCAUUUUCGGUUUCCAUUU